rnacentral:rRNA from 1 species
UACGUAGGGUGCAAGCGUUGUCCGGAAUUAUUGGGCGUAAAGAGCUCGUAGGCGGUCUGUCGCGUCGGCUGUGAAAUCCCGAGGCUCAACCUCGGGUCUGCAGUCGAUACGGGCAAACUAGAGUAUUGCAGGGGAGACUGGAAUUCCUGGUGUAGCGGUGAAAUGCGCAGAUAUCAGGAGGAACACCGGUGGCGAAGGCGGGUCUCUGGGCAAUAACUGACGCUGAGGAGCGAAAGCGUGGGUAGCGAACAGG